UACGAAGGGGGCUAGCGUUGCUCGGAAUUACUGGGCGUAAAGGGCGCGUAGGCGGCUAGUUUAGUCAGAGGUGAAAGCCCAGGGCUCAACCUUGGAAUUGCCUUUGAUACUGGCUAUCUUGAGUUCGGGAGAGGUGAGUGGAACUCCGAGUGUAGAGGUGAAAUUCGUAGAUAUUCGGAAGAACACCAGUGGCGAAGGCGACUCACUGGCCCGAUACUGACGCUGAGGCGCGAAAGCGUGGGGAGCAAACAGG
rnacentral:rRNA from 1 species